CCGCAAGCUCGUGGUUCCUAGUCGGAUUCGUUUCCGCUGUGCCCUGACGGGAACUCCUGGGUGGUUUCUUUGCUGUUGUUGUUGUGGAGGUGUAUGAGUUUUCUUUAUAUAUGUUUUGGAGGUGAACCUCACGGGCAGUGGUCCCUUUCUCCUCAGUGCUUCUGUAGAGCUGCUGUCCACAGUGUGCCAGCCACUGGCCAGAAGGAGCCAUUUCUGCUUAAUUGAGUUCAGUCAGUAGUUAGGUCUGCCUCUUGCAGUGAACAGAAUAAAGCAGCCUAUGGUUCACUCCCAGGGGCCACCACACAAGUGUGUCCAUGCAGCUGGAAUUUCAGGUGUGUCACCCUGGAGCUGAGGCCUCCAGAUGGACUCGUAGAAGGGAGAUGUGUAAGGCUCCAUCCCUCAGCAGCCCACGAUCUCUGAAGGUUUGCCACUGUGGCCAAUGUUUUAUGGAAGCUUCUGAGGCCGUAGAGCAGAGGGAAGUUCUGAGCACACGGAGGACAAGCCAGGGUGGUGCUGUGUGGCCGCAAACAACCCUAAGUAGGGGAUACGUGUGGGGGACAGGCUCUAACACCUUGAUUCCUUAUGUCUGUGUCUCUGCAGUAUGUUUCAUGGAGAGUCUGAGUGACAGCAACCAUGAUGAAAGUGAUACAGACUCAGUGGUGGAGAGCCUGAGCAGCCGCCAGGAUGAGGAGGCUGCAGCAACCCUCGAUGAUGUUGUGGAGGCCGGCGGGAGUGAGAAGACGGAGGAAGAGGCCCUGGCUGGGGCAAAUGAGGAGGAGGUGGGGCCGGGAACUGAGAAGGUGCAGGAGGAGGCUGCCUGCAUUGACGAGGCAGAGGAGGAGGCAGGCCCAUCCCUUGAAAAUGACGAGGAGUCCCCAGCCAGCGACCUGGUUGAGCAGGAAGACCAGCUUGCCCCCAAGGUGGACGGGAUGGACGAUGAAAGCCUAUGUUUCAUGGAGAGUCUGAGUGACAGCAACCAUGAUGAAAGUGAUACAGACUCAGUGGUGGAGAGCCUGAGCAGCCGCCAGGAUGAGGAGGCUGCAGGUAGGGAAGAGCACGCAGCUGGGAUCCAGUGGGAGAGGGUUCCUGGGAGCACCUGGGUUCCGCCUGCUGCCGGGAGAGGGAGGAAGUGGGGGAU
rnacentral:lncRNA from 9 species